rnacentral:lncRNA from 1 species
AUGAGACCAGCAAGAGUGAGAAGGCCUUGAAUGCCAGGCCAGACAUGGAGAGCGUUAGGGAACCAGAGCCAGUUUGAAAAGGCAGCUGAGAUGGGGCUGUGGAGAACUCGGAAUGCAAUCCCCACCCCCAGGAGAAGAGGAAGAAACCUCUUACUGUCUCCAGCAAGGGGCUCCCAGGGUCUGCCAGGACCACACCAUCCAACCCUAUGCUGUCAGAUCUCCCAGCUCUCCCUUCAGUGAUGAGAGGACCCGUUAGGAGCAAGCUGAAGGACCAUGGCUCCUGCCUAAGUCUUCAUCCCGUGACAGGGGAAAGAUUACCCAGCGGAUAACUUUUUAUCAUUCAAAUCUUUGCUAUCGGAUCUUCUAGAUUUCCACCUUGAAAUAUGAAAAUGAUGUUACAUGUUUCAGAGAGCGUAUCUUCUCACAUAGAGCACAGUGAUUUUGUUUUGUUUUGUUCUGUUCUGCACAG